rnacentral:misc_RNA from 1 species
UAUCGUGAGCUCGACAUGCUAAUGUUGUCGAGGAUGCGCGAGUACAAGAUAGUGGUGUUGGGAUCGGGUGGUGUUGGCAAAUCUGCUCUGACAGUCCAGUUUGUUCAAGGCAUUUUUGUCGAGAAAUAUGAUCCAACAAUUGAAGACUCCUACCGGAAACAAGUCGAGGUGGAUGGACAGCAGUGUAUGCUGGAAAUCCUCGACACUGCUGGAACAGAACAAUUUACUGCAAUGCGUGAUCUUUACAUGAAGAACGGCCAGGGCUUUGUUUUGGUGUAUAGCAUCACUGCACAGAGCACCUUCAAUGAUCUACAAGACCUUCGAGAACAGAUUCUUAGAGUGAAGGAUACCGACGAUGUUCCAAUGAUUCUGGUUGGCAACAAGUGUGACUUGGAAGAUGAACGUGUAGUGGGCAAAGAUCAGGGCCUGAACUUGGCAAAAUCUUUCUCCUGCGCUUUCCUAGAGUCUUCGGCCAAGGCCAAGAUCAACGUCAACGAGAUCUUCUACGAUCUCGUUCGGCAGAUCAACCGAAAGUCGCCGGAAAAAAAUCAGGGCAAGAGGCCCGGGAGUCGUAAGCCAUGUUGCCUCUUAUAAGGUUGAAUGUUCUUUGAUAUUAAGACUAGAUAAAGAAUGUUUGGAUGUUACGCCUUCAUCCUCUCAGGUGUAAAUUUGGUUUUGUUCUAUUGUCAAGGCAUGCAGCAAUUAAUCAUUCCUAGGGACUUUUAGGUGUACUUAUUGCCAUCAGCGAGGGUUAGGUGUACUUAUUGCCAUCAGCGAGGGAACUGCCAGGAGAGAGUCGAUGGCUCUAAGUGACCAAAGCAUAAUUUCUUAGUUGUGUAGAGAAUGCUGUUGUGUUUUUGUUUGGCUGACAGACUAAGGGACUUCUGGAGGAAACAUGCAUAUCUUGUCAAUAGAAAUUUUGAAUUGAAGGGUGGGAAAAAGGCUGGUGCCACACACGAACUCAUUGUUUUGCACACAAUGAUCGGGGUUUGUAUAGACUUGCUCUUGAAAAGGAAUUUCCCAUAAAGUCUUAAGUGUUGGAAAUGUGCUCGAGGUAACUUGUUACUUUAGAGCACUUGUCAUAUUAUUCAGACAUGUUUGCUGAAUGUGGCUAGAAGUACAACACGUUGUUUAUAAAAAUAUUGGAUCUGCAAGAAUGUGAUGUCGGCAUAACUCAUGUUGGCCAUAUUUUGUUACUUCUUAGUCUCUCGUGAUUCAGAAAAUACUGAAUAUCCAUGAAUUUUCCAAAGUUAAACUAGUCUAUUUUUUCUAGCACAAAAUUAUGGAAUAUAGCUAUUACUAACAUUCAAGUCGUUUAUUUUUUAUUUUAAGAGAGACAAAUUCCGCUAUCCAUCCUCAUUGUACCAUUU